AACGAACGCUGGCGGCAGGCUUAACACAUGCAAGUCGAGCGCCCCGCAAGGGGAGCGGCCGACGGGUGAGUAACGCGUGGGAACGUACCCUUAUCUUCGUGAUAGCUCCGGGAAACUGGAAUUAAUACCGAAUGUGCCCUUUGGGGGAAAGAUUUAUCGGAUAAGGAUCGGCCCGCGUUGGAUUAGCUAGUUGGUGGGGUAAAGGCCUACCAAGGCGACGAUCCAUAGCUGGUCUGAGAGGAUGAUCAGCCACAUUGGGACUGAGACACGGCCCAAACUCCUACGGGAGGCAGCAGUGGGGAAUAUUGGACCAUGGGCGCAAGCAUGAUCCAGCCAUGACGCGUGAGUGAUGAAGGCCUUAGGGCUGUAAAGCUCUUUCACCGGAGAAGAUAAUGACGGUAUCCGGAGAAGAAGCCCCGGCUAACUUCGUG
rnacentral:rRNA from 1 species